rnacentral:lncRNA from 1 species
CUGUUUAACACUUUUUAACCCCAUGCUCUCCUCGUGCCCUACAAAAACAAUAUAAUGUCAUUUCCAACUUCCCCAGGCUGCGGAGCCACCCCAACUCUGGCUUAACUUGGCACAACAGCCAUCUUCGGAAAUGCUGGUAGCCGUCAGUAUGUCCAUUGUCCUUCGUGGCUAGAGGAAAUGACUGCUCAUGACUCACGAUGCUCCGCUUGAGGCCAGAGCAAUAACGUCUCUGCUCUGGGAAGGACCCGUAUUUGCAGCUGGAAAUGACUUCUGACCACCCAGUGG